rnacentral:tRNA from 1 species
AGCUCAGUCGGUAGAGCAGGGGAUUGAAAAUCCCCGUGUCCUUGGUUCGAUUCCAGAACGCCA